rnacentral:rRNA from 1 species
UGGGGAAUAUUGGACAAUGGGCGAAAGCCUGAUCCAGCCAUGCCGCGUGUGUGAAGAAGGUCUUCGGAUUGUAAAGCACUUUAAGUUGGGAGGAAGGGCUGUUACCUAAUACGUGACAGUUUUGACGUUACCAACAGAAUAAGCACCGGCUAACUUCGUGCCAGCAGCCGCGGUAAUACGAAGGGUGCAAGCGUUAAUCGGAAUUACUGGGCGUAAAGCGCGCGUAGGCGGUUUGAUAAGUUGGAUGUGAAAGCCCCGGGCUCAACCUGGGAAUUGCAUCCAAAACUGUCGGACUAGAGUACGGUAGAGGGUGGUGGAAUUUCCUGUGUAGCGGUGAAAUGCGUAGAUAUAGGAAGGAACAUCAGUGGCGAAGGCGACCACCUGGACUGUAACUGACGCUGAGGCACGAAAGCGUGGGGAGCAAACAG